rnacentral:rRNA from 1 species
UUGGCGAACGGGUGAGUAACACGUGAGCAACCUGCCCUAUACAACGGGAUAACACAGAGAAAUUUGUGCUAAUACGGUAUAAGACCACAGUAUCGCAUGAUACAGGGGUAAAAGAUUUAUCGGUAUAGGAUGGGCUCGCGACCCAUUAGCUAGUUGGUGAGGUAACGGCCCACCAAGGCAACGAUGGGUAGCCGACCUGAGAGGGUGAUCGGCCACACCGGGACUGAGACACGGCCCAGACUCCUACGGAAGGCAGCAG